rnacentral:rRNA from 1 species
AUUGAACGCUGGCGGCAGGCCUAACACAUGCAAGUCGAGCGGAGCGGCGGACGGGUGAGUAAUGCCUAGGAAUCUGCCUGGUAGUUGGGGAUAACGUCCGGCAACGGGCGCUAAUACCGCAUACUAUCAGAUUAGCCUAGGUCGGAUUAGCUAGUUGGUGGGUUAAAGGCCUACCAAGGCGACGAUCCGUAACUGGUCUGAGAGGAUGAUCAGUCACACUGGAAUGGAGAAACGGUCCAGACCCGUACGGGAGGCAGAAGUGGGGAAGAUUGGACAAUGGGCGAAAGCUGGAUCCAGCAAUGCCGCGUGGGUGAAGAAGGUCUUCGGUUUGUAAAGCACUUUAAGUUGGGAGGCGUUACCAAAAGAAUAAGCACCGGCUAACUUCGGGCCAGCCGCCGCGGUAAUAC